rnacentral:lncRNA from 10 species
CAAUUUUGAAAUUCAAUUUAAAAUUGUGCUACAAAUCUGGUAGAUAAAAUAGUCACCCAGAUAUACAUGAGGUUGUAGUUUACACAUAAUUACUAUAUUUUCAUUUAUUUGGCUUGUUAGCCAAAAUGCAAGUGAACAAUCAUAGUCUCCACUGUGCAAGGGGCCAUUAUUUCAGUAGACUCCAUGUGAGAAGGGCCUGCUCAUAUAUUAAUAAAUCAACAGGUUCAGGUCAAGGAGGAAUGGCCAAACCAUUUUCUCGCUAGAUUGCACUUUCAUUGAAAACCUGCUCAUUAACUUAUUUAUAAAACUGAUAUCUCUAUAUUUCAUAUUCUGAUAUAUUAGCAUGAUUUAAUGUUAGGAAAGAUGCUCUAUAUUUUAUUCUUCUCAAAGUCCCUAGGAGAUGACUAGAAGAGAGUUAAUUGCUUAUAUUGUAAAGCUGAUAGUUACCACAUUUAUUUUUUCUUUUCUAGCAACAAACUUCACAUCCAUCAAAUUCUUAACAUGAACCAGGUUCUUUGCUUACAUUCGCAUAGGCAUAUCGAAACACCACCUGGAACACAGCUGUGACUUGAUAAACAAGUGAAACAUUCUUUGGUGUGGUGAGGGGAAAACAAAUUUCUCAAAGGACACGCACCAUGGUGUAUGAGAGGACACUGGAGCCCAGCCAGCAUCUGACAUGCUGAAUUCAAAGUGCAGAAGACAGAGAUGAAGAAAAGAAGGAAGUGGAGGCAAUGAGGAAAGGAGGGAAGAAGGAAGGAAGGAAAUCAUGCUUGAAAGAAGUUGUGGAACAUGUCAAGUUUUUUUCCGGAUGUGGCGGAGAUUAUGCAGCUACAAUGAAGCCAGAUUAAGAUUUCAGGAAAAUGGACAGAUCUCUACAAUGUUCUCCAAAGAGAUUGUUUUGCUUGCCAAUAAAAAGAGACACCUGGGAGCACCAUACUCUCUCCUGUUCCUCUGGGUAUCAUAUUUCCUUAUGACACCUGAAACUCUGAUGCCUUCUGGGUCCAUGAAAGCAGUGAGAUGAGCACAGGAAACCACGCUGAGGAUGGUUGAGCAAAAAGGUGACAUUGAGCCACUGGAUUAACCUGCCCAGAAACAGGAUAUCUUCAGAUUUCUUGUUAAGUAAGAAAAUGUAAUUUUGUUGAUUCUAAGUUACACUUUCUUUUGUUAGUUCAACAUCUCUGAAAUCAGAACAUAUUUUGCCAUGGUAAUAUCUUACCAUCACUGUAAUAUGUAAUAUCCUUACAUAGGUGUCAUUGCCUAUGCAUGUGUCAACUUGAUUGCUAUUCUCUGUGAUAUGACUGACAACUGCAGCCCUUUGACAGUUCAGUCGACAAACCAUUGAAGAUUAUUAGGGUAAGAAAUACUGCUUUCUGUCUGAAAACUUUCCAAUGACAUCUUCUGAAAAGACAAAGAAAGUAUCAGCAUCAAAAUUUGCGUAAUAGGCCGGGCGCGGUGGCUCACGCCUGUAAUCCCAGCACUUUGGGAGGCCGAGGCGGGCGGAUCACGAGGUCAGGAGAUCGAGACCAU